rnacentral:pre_miRNA from 11 species
GAAGAAAACAUCAUUGAGUGCAGCGUUGAUGAAACUGAAGUAUUCCAUUUUUCAGCUUCUUUGAAGUCCGGCAAGAUGGGUUCUGGUUGAUUCCAUUGGCGCUGCACUCAAUCAUGUCUUUU